GUUAAAAUAUAAGAGGUCCCGCCUGCCCAGUGACCUAGUUUAACGGCCGCGGUACCCUAACCGCGCGAAGGUAGCAUAAUCACUUGUUCUUUAAAUGAGGACUUGUAUCAAUGGCACCACGAGAGCUUUACUGUCUCCUCUUUCUAAUCAGUGAAACUGAUCUUCCCGUGAAGAAGCGGGAAUAAAUCUAUAAGACGAGAAGACCCCAUGGAGCUUUAAGCUGAUUUCACAUCUAUUUUGUAUAUCCUCUAAUUAAAUAGAACGCUGCCUGUUCAGCUUUAGGUUGGGGUGACCGCGGAAUAUAACAUAACUUCCAUGAUGUACAAAGCUUCUCUUAUCUAAGAAUAACUAUUCCAAGAAUUAGCAUUCUAACAUACAAUGACCCGAUAAUCGAUCAACGGACUAAGUUACCCUGGGGAUAACAGCGCAAUCCAUUUCAAGAGCCCCUAUCGACAAAUGGGUUUACACCCUCGAUGUUGGAUCAGGAUAUCCUAGUGGUGCAGCAGCUACUAAAGGGUUCGUUUGUUCAACGAUAAAAUCCUACGUGAUCU
rnacentral:rRNA from 1 species